rnacentral:lncRNA from 1 species
AUCCCCAGCCCAAUCAGGAAAGAUUUUGUAGAGAGAAAUUUAAUUGUGUUAAAAUUGAAGUAGCAGUCAGUAUUUCCAUGGUGAAAAUUGAAGACAUAAUGGAGAACAUUAAUUUGUUGCUAUCUCGCACUUACUUUUGUAGGAAAUCAUCUUAUGGAGAAAAGCUCCUGAAAAACUGAGGAAACAGAGAACAAACUUUCACCAGCGAUUUGAGUCUCCAGAGUCACAGGCAUCUGCUGAACAGCCUGAAAUGUGAACUGAAAAGAAGGGAAAAAAAACAAAAAACUGUAACUGUUGAAAUUAAGUUCAGCAGGUUAAAGAUGGUUGCAGCUUGUAGGGGCGGGGUGGGGGGAAGCCAAAACUCCAUGCAUAACAGUCUUCCUUUAUCUUACAGUGCUGCAUUUACUUUACAGUAUAACUAAAUGUACGUACCUACAUUUUACAAAGUGCUUUCUUUGAGACACUGGAGAUUUCUUAGGCUGCCCUUAUUUUUUUUUUUUAACUGCACACUUUGAUGAUGAGCACUCAGAUAUGCAUCAGCAUAAACAUUAAAGAUUUUCAUGCAGGUAGGCUGGGAUUUGUAAUUUUGCUUUCUUUCUGCAUAAUGUUGAUUAUAAAUCUUUUUCUCCUUUUUUUUUCUUUUUUGCUAAUGAUUACCUCUUACUCUCUCCAUGCAAAAAAUCAAAUAUUUUGUGUUCAAAUAAAACUAGAAAACCUGAUUAGCCCUUACAUCCUGCAAAGACUUAAAAUAUAGCAUCUCGGUGUUUUUGAGAAUUCCAUUUGUUUUUAUGUAUGUAUUUGAGAAAUGUAUAUGAAUUUUUUCAUUGUAGGUGUUUCUGGGUCUGCCAUUUCAUGGCUUCUUGUGUUUUAUCCUCUUUGAAGUCUUUUAUAGUAUGAAUGUAAAAUUUUUUCCCAAGGGAUGAGAUGGCUUUUCAUUUUGGCACUUGUGUCCCACUGCCUCAUAUUAAGUAACCAUUUUGCUACAACUUUCCAGCAGUACUACCAUAUGUGUUCUGCAGUGUGGAGUUGAUGUAUGUUGGCAUUUUAGAACUUGCUAAAACUAUAUGAAUUUUUCCAUAAAUACUUUGAAACAUAUGUGUAUAUAUAUAUAUUUUUAAAUUUAAAGAGUCUUUUUGCCACAUUUAUGCAAAUAUCAUUUUCUUGACUUUACAAAUUUGUUCUUUUUACUUUUCAGUGGAAAAUUUGGGGGACUCAGGAGGAACUUGUGAAGCAUGUAGCUAACCCAGAUAUGCACAGUUUCAUGUUUGUUAAACUGGAGCUUUGGCUAGUUCAAACUCCAUUAAACUUCACCAGUCUGUUUUAAUUUUUUUUUUAAACACUAAAGUCAUUUGUUCAACAUCUCUUAAAAGAAGGUUGCAGUUAUCUGAUCAUAUAUAUGGGAUCUGAUCUCAAAUACACUAAAUGUGGAGCGUGGGAACCAAAACAAAGCCUCCUAUGUGAAAACUAUUUUCACUUAUGGUUCAUUGGUUUUUGUACCAAUAUUUAAAAAUACUUCAGUGCAAGUUUUGUCAGUUAACCUUACUUUAUGAGUAAGCUAAAUAAUCCAAAUUACAUUUCUUUAAACCUGUUUUACUACUAUGGCACUUUGAUAAAAUGGUCAGUAACCAACUUUAUUUACUGGCCAAAGGUUCCAUGUACCAUGUGCUGGAGCAUCUAUUUUAAAUGGGGGUAUCUAUGAAUGGUAACGUUUUCCUUCAUGUAAGUGCCUGUUCAGAGUUUCAAAAUUUAAAAAUGCCAAAUAUUUUCAUGGUCACUUGCAUGUAGUAAUCUAGAAAAUAUUCAAAGAUUUUGAAAACCAAGUUGUAUUUAACCAGCCUCAAAUUGUGCAACCAUGUAUAAUAAAGAAUUUGAAACAGAAACUGAGCUUGCAG